GGGGUUGUGGCUCAGUGGUAGAGCACUUGCCUAGCAUGUGUGAGGUACUAGGUUCGAUUCUCAGCACCA
rnacentral:tRNA from 1 species